CAUGCAUUCCCUGUUUCUCACAGCCCCUGACUACCACCCUCAGAGCAGCAAUAGAACCCUCCAUUCAUGAGCUUUCUGUGCCCCACAGCCCCUGACUACCCAUCCUCCCAUUACUGCACUUUCUGCUCCCAUAGCCCCUGACUACCCACGCUUUCAUCCAUGCACUUUUUUCUUUGAUUGUAACUGAUUACUCACCCUGACACCCAUGCAUUUCUUGCUUCCAAAGCCCCUGAAUACCCAGACUUCCAUCCAUUCACUCAGUGCUCCCACAGACCCUGACUACCAACCCUCAUAGCCAGGUACUCCCUGCUCUGCCAGCCCGUGACUACCCAUUUUCACUCCAUGCACUCCGUGCUCCCACAGCCCCUGACUACCCACCCUCACAUCCAUGCACUCCCUGCUCCCACAGCCCGUGACUACCUACACUCACAUCCAUGCACUCCCUGCUCCCACAGCCCCUGACUACCCACCCUCACAUCCAUGCACUUCCAGCUUUCACAGACCCUGACUACCCACCCUCUUAUUUAUGCACUCCCUGCUCACUGUGUUUGGCCACUCAUAGGCCUUUCAAUGUAAAGUCGUGGGAUUCUCCCAUUAAAAUGUUACUCCUGUCACUGGACCCUCCAAACAUAUGUAUAACUUAAGUUCUUUGUCUGCUCGCAAGCAAAAUUGCUGCUUUCUUAGAGUAAUUUGGUUGCAGACAGUAGUUACAGGAGGCCUGCGUUUGCCGGUUUGCGUAGCUGCUGUGGGGCAGUGCGGGAGGAAUUGUGAGGUCUGUGCUGUCAGCAAGUGAGUUCCCUACAACGUGGAGGCAGAGAGAUGUAGGCAGUGAGGAACUGGGCCUGAGGAGCUCACCCCAGCUUCUUGAGUUCUUGCAUUUUGCUAUAGGUGACUUAACUGUUGGUCCCAGUUAUCAAGGAAGGGGCCGCUCUGGGGAGAGGUGGUUUGAGUUUCCUUCUAGACUGUGUGCUUCGUGGCUUCGGUCUCAGGUGACUGGGACUGAGCAUUUCACAGAACAGAGAUGGACGUGUUCACUGAUUGAAAACAGGUCUCAUUCUCACUCCUGUAUCUUGCUUUCUGACCCUCCCAGUGGGCUACCUCGAGAAUGGAGCGAGGAGCCAAGGAGAAGAACCACCAGCUUUACAAGCCCUACACCAACGGAAUCAUUGCAAAGGAUCCCACUUCACUAGAAGAAGAGAUCAAGAAGAUUCGUCGAAGUGGCAGUAGUAAGGCUCUGGACAACACUCCGGAGUUGGAGCUCUCUGGCAUUUUCAACUUUUGCCGGAAAGAAUGGAGACCAUUAUGGAUGAUGAGGUGACAGAAAGAUUCUCCGCAGAGGAACGGGAAUCCUGGAACCUGCUGAGCAGAACCAAUUAUAACUUGCAUUCCAUCAGCCUUCGGCUCACGGUCCUGUGGGGGUUAGGAGUGCUGAUUCGCUACUGCUUCCUGCUGCCGCUCAGGUGAGACAG
rnacentral:lncRNA from 13 species